rnacentral:rRNA from 1 species
UUGACGGGGGCCCGCACAAGCGGAGGAGCAUGUGGUUUAAUUCGAUGAUACGCGAGGAACCUUACCUGGGCUUAAAUGUUAUAUUGACGUACUGAGAAAUCAGUAUUUCUUCGGACAAUUUUACAAGGUGCUGCAUGGUUGUCGUCAGCUCGUGCCGUGAGGUGUCGGGUUAAGUCCCAUUAACGAGCCGCAACCCCUACUUCUAGUUACCAGCAUUUCGGAUGGGGACUUUAGAGGAACUGCUUACGCAAGUAGAGAGGAAGGUGGGGAUGGCGUCAAAUCAGCACGGCCCUUAUGUCCAGGGCUUACACACGUGCUUACAAUGGCCGGUACAGAGGGCAGCUACAUAGCAAUUAUGAUGCUAAUCUCAAAAGCCGGUCUCAGUCCGGAUUGGAGUCUGCUACUCGACUCCAUGAAGCUGGAUUCGCUAGUAAUCGCACAUCAGCAAUGGUGCGGUGAUACGUUCCCGGGCCUUGUACACACCGCCCGUCAAGCCAUGGUAGUUGGGGGUAC